rnacentral:rRNA from 1 species
AUGGCUACGAAGAAAUAUUUCUUCUGCUAUGGAUCCUUCUCGAUUAAGGACGGCUUGGAAAUUAGAUUCUGGGAGGACAAGUGGCUAGAAAAUGCCACACUCCGGGAACAAUAUCCGACUCUAUACAACAUUGUGCGCCACAAAGGUGAUACUAUCGCCACGGUAAUGGAAUCAUUUCCGCCAAAUGUGAUGUUCAGAAUAGACUUAAUUGGACCCAGACUCCAAUCAUGGAACAUCCUGCUCCAACGGUUGUCCACGGUGUAAUUGUCACAUGGGUCUGAUGUAUUCCAAUGGAACCUCCACGGGAAUGGACAAUUCUCAGUGGAUUCUAUGUAUAGAGUGUUAAUCUAG